AAAAUCUUAAGUUAUAUUUUAAACUUUUAUCGUUCAAAGAUAAGAAAACUUCAACGUAGAUUUUG
rnacentral:tRNA from 1 species